rnacentral:rRNA from 1 species
AUGGCCUCCAAGCAGAUGACGCAGAUGCUGCAUAUGAAUCAAGGACAAGGGGAAACUAGCUAUGCUCGCAACUCUAGUAUUCAGACAGCUGAGCAGAAGAGGAUGAAACCCCUAAUUGAAGCAGUCAUCGCUGAAUUAUGCAGUAGCACUAGCACCUUGGUGCCUGGUAAGAUGGUGAUCGUGGACAUGGGCUGCUCCACGGGCCCAAACGCGCUCACACUUGUAUCAAUUGCCGUCAAGGCGGUCCAAGAUCACUAUUUUCAGGUCCAACAACCACCACCGGAAGUGUGUUUGCUCCUGAACGAUCUCCCUAACAACGACUUCAACACGGUGGUCAAGAGCCUAGUCAUGCUUCGUCAAAGCAAUGAGCAUGUCGUCGUGACUGGUAUCACACCGGGGUCAUUUUAUGAGCGCCUCUAUACUAGUGGCUCUUUACAUCUUGUCUGCUCUUCGAACAGUUUGCAUUGGCUCUCAAAGGCUCCUGAAGAUCUAUUCAAGAAUCACAUCCCAGCAUAUGACAUGGACAAGGAUGCUAGGCGUCAAAGAUACCGUAUAGUGCUUGAGGCUUAUGCAAAACAGUUUAGGAAAGAUUUCACCAAUUUCCUGGAGCUGAGAGCCAAAGAAUUGGUCUCAAAAGGCCGAAUGGUUGUUUCCCUGGUAGGGAGGCGUUCUGAUGUAACCGCCACCAAAUUCUCUUAUCUUUCAAGAACUAUAUCUCAGAUUCUAAGUGUCAUGGUCUCAGAGGGUGUGAUCGACAAAGAAAAGUUUGAUUCUUUUUAUGUGCCAGUGUAUGAACCUUCUAGUAAAGAGGUGAGAGAGAUCAUUAAAGAAGAGGGCUCCUUUUCGAUCAGGGAGAUGCAGGUGCAUGACCCUACAACCGAUAUGAACAAUGCUCUCAGCACCCCAAGCAAGUUCGUCAAUCUCUUGAGAGCUUUAUGUGAGCCAAUAUUAGUCCAACAUUUUGGAGAUGUCAUGUAUGAAUUCGUGAGCACCGCGGAGCGUCACUGGAGCAUGGAGGGCAACUUGUUAGGUCCUUAUGCUAUGUUGGCCAUAUCCCUUGCAAAGGCAUGA